AUGGGCCUACGGGGGGCAGCAGUGGGGAAUUUUGCGCAAUGGGGGAAACCCUGACGCAGCAACGCCGCGUGCGGGAUGACGGCCUUCGGGUUGUAAACCGCUUUCAGUAGGGACGAAUUUUGACGGUACCUACAGAAGAAGCCCCGGCUAACUACGUGCCAGCAGCCGCGGCUAUACGUAGGGGGCGAGCGUUAUCCGGAUUCAUUGGGCGUAAAGCGCGCGUAGGCGGUCAUGUAAGCG
rnacentral:rRNA from 1 species